AUUGAACGCUGGCGGCAGGCCUAACACAUGCAAGUCGAGCGGCAGCGGGAAAGUAGCUUGCUACUUUUGCCGGCGAGCGGCGGACGGGUGAGUAAUGCCUGGGGAUCUGCCCAGUCGAGGGGGAUAACUACUGGAAACGGUAGCUAAUACCGCAUACGCCCCACGGGGGAAAGCAGGGGACCUUCGGGCCUUGCGCGAUUGGAUGAACCCAGGUGGGAUUAGCUAGUUGGUGAGGUAAUGGCUCACCAAGGCGACGAUCCCUAGCUGGUCUGAGAGGAUGAGAAGCCACACUGGAACUGAGACACGGUCCAGACUCCUACGGGAGGCAGCAGUUGGGAAUAUUGCACAAUGGGGGAAACCCUGAUGCAGCCAUGCCGCGUGUGUGAAGAAGGCCUUCGGGUUGUAAAGCACUUUCAGCGAGGAGGAAAGGUUGGUAGCUAAUAACUGCCAGCUGUGACGUUACUCGCAGAAGAAGCACCGGCUAACUCCGUGCCAGCCGCCGCGGUAAAAC
rnacentral:rRNA from 1 species